GCUCGGGGAGGUCGUCGUGGCGCGCGGUCGCCGCUGCGACCAGCGCGGAUUCGACCUCACGGGUCGCGCCGAUCAUCGCCGCACCCAGGCGC
rnacentral:tRNA from 1 species